UGCAGUUCUAAAGCAUAUUUAAAAAAUAACAUGCAAAGUUUAUAUUAAUAGGAAGAAUGGUAUGUAGUGCAGCACCGCAUUAACAAUGUAUACAUUUAUUUUAAAUAUUGAUAUACAUAAAUUUUAUUUGUCCCCGUGACCUGUAUAAAAGACAACUACCCACAAUGCAGUUCGAAAAUGGCGGGAACUACCAAAUUCAAACGUUACCUCGACGUUUCAGGAUUGGGGAAAAAUAGAGAAAACUGGAAAAGAUUCUGUGUUUUAAUGAUACAGCUAAUCAGCUAUACACUUAUGGAAACAUGGUGCAAAAGAAACACAACAGAUUCCUACAGAACAUAAUUGGGUAAGUCAACACUUUUCAAUUGCAGUCAGUGUAACACGAAGGUAUACUGAACAAAAGCCUUACUUUCUUAUCUAUUUGUAAUGUUCACAUACACUCCACAGUACAUAUUAAGCUGGCUGGCUAUAAACACCAGAAACAGGUGGAUUAAAAAUAAAUCAGAUAGUUAUUUUGUUAAGCUGGUAGAACCAAAUUUAACAACAAUAUUGUGUUACAUUUCAUGCACAAUGAUUUCGUAGAUAUAUAUAUAUGGCAAAUUGUGUAAGGCACAUGAUAAAUUGAUAAUAACAAAAAACGUAUUAUUUAGUUAGAAUUACCGCCAAAAUCACGAAAAAAAUUCAUGUUAGAUUAGUUGACACAAUAAAGAACAGUAUUAUGGCGUUGUUUUAAGCAAUAUUUCGCUGGGUAUUUUACUACAUAGUUAGUUCUAGGGAGACACAAAUCAAUAAGAAAACAGUGGGGUAUAAAUGGUUUAACUGCAUUAUUGCACAGGAACAUUCAAGAUUAAUUCUUAUUAAAAUAUUAUCACUAAAAAUAUCCAGUUGUAAUUGGUAAUAUUAUAUCUAUGGACAAUUCUAUGUGUGAAGCUGCUACAAUUUGCAUGUAUGUCAUUGGUUCUUAACUUUUCUGCUGUGAUGCAUUUAGAAAUGCUUGCUAGCCUACAACCCCCCACUACAGACUCUUGGAGACAUUUUUACCAAAGUUAUAAUUAUUUAUCUUAGAAUGCAACUCCUUGGAAAAAUUUAAAUAACGCACCAGUUGUUUCGACACAUAGUUGAAGAUAAAACUAAUGUAUCGCAUUCUAAUAAACAUGGUGUUGCA